rnacentral:rRNA from 1 species
UACAGAGGGUGCGAGCGUUAAUCGGAAUUACUGGGCGUAAAGCGCACGUAGUCGGCUUUGCAAGUCGGUUGUGAAAUCCCCGGGCUCAACCUGGGAACUGCAUCCGAGACUGCAUUGCUAGAGUAUGGGAGAGGAAAGCGGAAUUUCUGGUGUAGCAGUGAAAUGCGUAGAUAUCAGAAGGAACAUCAGUGGCGAAGGCGGCUUUCUGGACCAAUACUGACGAUCAGGUGCGAAAGCGCGGGGAGCAAACAGG